GGACGAUUAGCUCAGCUGGUUAGAGCACUACAUUCACAUUGUAGGGGUCGUUGGUUCGAAUCCAUCAUCGUCCA
rnacentral:tRNA from 2 species